GACGAACGCUGGCGGCGUGCUUAACACAUGCAAGUCGAACGGAAAGGCCCUGCUUUUGUGGGGUGCUCGAGUGGCGAACGGGUGAGUAACACGUGAGUAACCUGCCCUUGACUUUGGGAUAACUUCAGGAAACUGGGGCUAAUACCGGAUAGGAGCUCCUGCUGCAUGGUGGGGGUUGGAAAGUUUCGGCGGUUGGGGAUGGACUCGCGGCUUAUCAGCUUGUUGGUGGGGUAGUGGCUUACCAAGGCUUUGACGGGUAGCCGGCCUGAGAGGGUGACCGGCCACAUUGGGACUGCGAUACGGCCCAGACUCCUACGGGAGGCAGCAGUGGGGAAUAUUGCACAAUGGGCGGAAGCCUGAUGCAGCAACGCCGCGUGCGGGAUGACGGCCUUCGGGUUGUAAACCGCUUUCGCCUGUGUCGAAGCGGGAUUGACGGUAAUGGGUAAAGAAGCACCGGCUAACUACGUG
rnacentral:rRNA from 1 species